rnacentral:rRNA from 1 species
AACGUAGGAGACAAACGUUAUCCGGAGUUACUGGGCGUAAAGGGCGUGUAGGUGGUUGCGUAAGUCUGGCGUGAAAUAUCUCGGCUUAACCGAGGCAGGUCGUCGGAUACUGCGUAACUGGAGGACGGUAGAGGCGUGUGGAAUUCCGGGUGUAGUGGUGAAAUGCGUAGAGAUCCGGAGGAACACCAGUGGCGCAAGCGGCCACCUGGCCAAGAGCUGACGCUGAGGCACGAGAGCGUGGGGAGCGAACCGG